GAAAAGGAUUCAUGUUGUCCAAGGACAAGUUGGAAGAUAUGCUAUUAUUGAGAAUAGUCAAAUAUAAAACCAUAAACAGAAAUUGCCUGCAGCUGUCAUAAUAACUGUCUGGGCAAUAAAAUGGUAGCUAAAAUUCAAUACAAGAUGGUAAAGUGUAUGAAGAAAUCAGCUCUAAGCAAACUACUGCCACUCAAGGAGCUCUGCAUACUGAAGCAGCUUCCACAGAUGAAGACUCUAAAGACGCUCUGGCUAAACCAGAAAACCAGUUGCAGGGUAUCACAUCUUCAUCUGUAGAUAAUUAUGGACCAUGAUCAAAUUAUAUCUUAAUUAACUGAACUGAACAGACUCAGCUUAUUACAAAACUCUACAGAAAGUUGAGAAGGAAGUGUGAUACAAGGAACCUACCAUGGGAUGGAAAAAAUACUUUGUUUCUUGAUUACACUGUGAACCUUUUCUGUUUUGACAAUUUCCCUCACAUUUCAUCCUAAGCAGG